GCCUGAGGGAGAGGAGCAGGGAAGAUGGCUGUGGUGGAGAAUGUAGUGAAGCUCCUUGGGGAGCAGUACUACAGAGAUGCCAUGGAACAGUGCCACAAUUACAACGCCCACCUCUGUGCUGAGCGGAGUGUGCACCUGCCUUUCUUGGACUCACAGACUGGAGUAGCCCAGAGCAAUUGUUAUAUCUGGAUGGAAAAGCGACACCGGGGACCAAGAUUGGCCUCUGGACAGUUGUACUCCUACCCUGCCCGCCAAAAGCGUCGAGCCCACCCACCUGAGGAUCCUAGGCUUUCCUUUCCAUCUAUUAAACCAGACACAGACCAGACCCUGAAGAAAGAGGGUCUUAUCUCUCAGGAUGGUCGCAGUUUAGAGGCUCUGUUGCGUACUGACCCUCUGGAGAAACGAGGUGCUCCAGAGCCCUGUGUUGAUGAUGACAGCCUGGGUGAGUUUCCUGUUACCAACAGUCGAGCCCGGAAGCGGAUCCUUGAACCUGAUGACUUCCUAGAUGACCUUGAUGAGGAGGACUAUGAAGAAGAUAUCCAAAGCGUCGGGGAAAGGGGAAGUCCAAGAGUAAGGGUGUGAGCAGUGCCCGGAAGAAACUGGAUGCUUCCAUCCUGGAGGACCGAGAUAAGCCUGUGACAUUUGUGGAAAACGCUACAAGAACCGACCUGGCCUCAGUUACCACUAUGCCCAUUCCCACCUGGCUGAGGAGGAAAGAGAGGACAAAGAAGACUCUCAACCACCCACUCCUGUUUCCCAGAGGUCUGAGGAACAGAAAUCCAAGAAAGGACCUGAUGGAUUAGCCCUGCCCAACAACUACUGUGACUUCUGCCUGGGGGACUCAAAAAUCAACAAGAAGACAGGGCAGCCUAAGGAGAUAGUGUCCUGUUCUGAGUGUGGCCGCUCAGGGCAUCCGUCCUGCCUGCAGUUCACCCCUGUGAUGAUGGCGGCUGUGAAGACCUACCGCUGCAACCUCUGCGGCACCUCGGAGAAUGACGACCAGCUGCUUUUCUGUGAUGAAUGUGACCGUGGCUACCACAUGUACUUUCUCACCCCAUCCAUGUCUGAACCUCCUGAAGGAAGGUGGAGCUGCCACCUGUGUCUGGAUCUGCUGAAGGAGAAAGCAUCCAUCUACCAGCACCAGAACAACUCCUGAUGUGCCGCCCAGCUCCCCACACAUCUAAGGCUGUUGCUCUCCUCUACCUUGGUUUUCAUACCCCUCUUCUUCCUUCACUCUGGUAGUCCUGCCAACCUGCCUUUGGCAACAGCACAGGGAGGUGGCACCUCUGGCUGCCUCUGGCCCCGAGCCCUCAGGGAGUAAGGAGCCGCACGCUGCCCCAGGGCUGACCUGUGGGCCCAACUUCUCUCUGUUCUCCAAGAAGUGCAUUCACUCUGCUUGCCUUAGGCCCAAGUCCCUGGUAAUCACAGGGUUCAAAUGGGGUCCUCUGAGAAGGAAUAUGAGGACAGCUCACUUAUUUCAAGCUGGCCUAGUCCCCCUUCCGGUUUCCAAAAGCCCCAGGGGGUAAGCCAGGCCCAGCCUUUGCUGGGAGCAGCUGGAGUGAUCAGGCUGAGAUGGCACUUACUAGGACCUUUCCAUACCCCUUGUUCUGCUUCACUUUGCCUCUGCCAAAGCAGUCCUGUGUCCUCGGUCAUGCUACAAGGGUCCUGUGCUUGAACUGGGAUGGUCUCAGGCACCUCCUGGCCAUGUCCUGUCCUGCCCAGUCCCACAGAGGCAAGCAGCUUCACCUGUGCUUGGCUGGCUCACUCACAGGUGGUCUCUGGCAAUCCAGGCAUUUCCUAUCCUCAGAGCUUCCGUCUUCUGCCUCCUUCCUUAUUCCUUUUGGUUUUGUGGGGAGAGGGACGAUGUCAGGGGGCUGUGCCAGCAGCUUGGGGGCCACAAGGAGAAGUUGGAUAAUGUGCCUGUUUUUUAACUCCAUAAAGCCUACCUCCAAAAUCCCCUUUUCGUUCUUCCUGAACCUGGGCAUUCAGCCACCUGCCCUCAACUGAGUCAGGAGCCUCUGCCUCCUG